rnacentral:rRNA from 1 species
GACGAACGCUGGCGGCGUGCUUAACACAUGCAAGUCGAACGGACAGGCCCUGCUUUUGUGGGGUGCUCGAGAGGCGAACGGGUGAGUAACACGUGUGGAAACUGCCCUUGACUUUGUGAUAACUUCUGGAGACUGGGGCUAAUACAGGAUAGGAGCUCCUGCUGCAUGGUGGGGGUUGGAAAGUUACGGCGGUUGGGGAUGGACUGGCGGGUUAUCAGCUUGUUGGUGGGGUAGUGGAUUACCAAGGCUUUGACGGGUAGCCGGCCUGAGAGGGUGACCGGCCACAUUGGGACUGAGGUACGGCCCAGACUCCUACGGGAGGCAGCAGUGGGGAAUAUUGCACAACGGGCGGAAGCCUGAUGCAGAAACGCCGCGUGCGGGAUGCCGGCCUUCGGGUUGUAAACCGCUUUCUACGGUGACGAAGCGUGAGUGACGGUAAUGGGUAAAGAAGCACCGGCUAACUACGUG